rnacentral:misc_RNA from 1 species
AUUCCAGAUGCUAAGAGAAAAAAACUAGAAGACAAAAGUGUAAGUUGUGUUUUAUUUGGAAUCAGUGGUGAAUCCAAAGGGUACAGAAUGUUUGAUCCUAUUGCAAAAAAAAUCAUAGUGAGCCGUGAUGUAAUUUUUGAUGAGGAUCGUGAAUGGGAUUGGGAAAAUUUUGAAGAUGAAGCUGAUUUAGAUUGGGGAGAAAGUAUUGAAAUUUCAGCCGCAAAAGAAGAAGACACUGAACAACACACAGUUUCAGCUUCAUCGAUUAAUCCAGAUGGUGAAAUUGAAGCUGCUGCUGAACCUGCUGCUAUCGAUGCAACACCUGCUACUGAAAUCGAACCAAAUUUGGAUAUAAGAGAGGGCAGAAGUCGACGUCCACCUAUAUGGUCAACUGAUUAUGUUUCCGAUGAAGGUUUGUCUGAAGAAGAUGAUAUUAACAUGGCGUAUUUGACGAUUUCAGAUCCUGUAAACUUUGAGGAAGCAAUCAAAAGCUCAAAGUGGAGAUUGGCA